GACGAACCGUGCGAACGUUGUUCGGAUUCACUGGGCUUAAAGGGCGCGUAGGCGGGCCGGCAAGUCCGGGGUGAAAUCCCACGGCUCAACCGUGGAAUAGCCUUGGAUACUGCCGGUCUCGAGGGAGGUAGGGGCGUGUGGAACUUCCGGUGGAGCGGUGAAAUGCGUAGAUAUCGGAAGGAACGCCGGUGGCGAAAGCGACGCGCUGGACCUCUUCUGACGCUGAGGCGCGAAAGCCAGGGGAGCAAAACGGG
rnacentral:rRNA from 1 species